rnacentral:rRNA from 1 species
UACGUAGGGUGCAAGCGUUGUCCGGAAUUAUUGGGCGUAAAGAGCUUGUAGGCGGUUUGUCGCGUCUGCUGUGAAAUUUCGGGGCUCAACCCUGAACUUGCAGUGGGUACGGGCAGACUAGAGUGUGGUAGGGGAGACUGGAAUUCCUGGUGUAGCGGUGAAAUGCGCAGAUAUCAGGAGGAACACCGAUGGCGAAGGCAGGUCUCUGGGCCACUACUGACGCUGAGAAGCGAAAGCAUGGGGAGCAAACGGG